GCAUGGGUUGGAUUUAUGGCAGGCUCUUCCCCCUGGGCCUUUCAUAGUGUCCCAUGCCAGAGCAAACUCUGGUCCCCAACCAUUGCCUAGACUCUACCUGUGGGCUACUGGCACUGAAGGGGAUGUCAACAAG